GAAUUUACAAUUUAUUUCUGUCACAACAUUACAGAAAGUUACAAGAACUAAAAAAAAUAUUGUACCCUUUCAAAGGGGAGUAAUCCAGAUUAUGUCUAAUAGCAUAAUGAUGGCAACAUCUAUAGCUAUUGGAUAUCAUAUGCGGUAGCAUGAAUAGUUGGAGCUCAGGGAAAGCCAAGCAUGAUCAACACCCACGAAGAAAUUCCCAUUGCCUUCGUGUCAUAUGAGCAAAUACAAUUUAGUUUUCAGAGCUUAUUGCAUCUACUUCUGUUGCAAAUUAAGGCCCCAAUGAGUAACAUGUCACUGUAUGACCAAUCAUCAAGCAUUGAUGCCUUGCAUAGCCAUGAACUGGCAUUCAUGCCAUCCUCAUCAAAAUAGCAUGAAUAAAUCAACACAUUGAGAUUAAGUAUAUAAAUUGACAAAAUAUGCCACCUUUAUAAACAAUAUCCAAGUGCCUUGUUGUAAUUGAUCCCAGAUAACCCAGCCUACAUGGAUAAUAUAUAUUUGUAAGUGAUCACGGAGCUUUGGCAGCCAAGAUAUAUUUUAGUGCCCUGCAAUCAGCUCCUUUCUCCCU
rnacentral:lncRNA from 1 species